rnacentral:lncRNA from 1 species
GGUCAUUUAAUGUCACUAACUUGUUAGUAGAGAUAAUAAUCAACUCUACAAAUAAGUAGAGAUGAUUUACCAUCACCCAGCAUUUUUGAUUUUGCAAAAUUUACUCUUUGGCCAGAAGGCAACCCUCUCUGCUUGGCCUCUUAUUUACAAUUAUCUUGAGCAGGUGCCUAUUUGCACUCCACCAUCCAGAUUCUCCAAGGCUAAGGACUCAAUUCCAGGCAGCUUUCACAUACCUGCGUGUGGAUUAUCCACCUAGUGAAGCACAUGCCAGGGAAGUUUUAAUCCCAACCCGGCUCUCUCCUAGCACCUUCUCUCCUUACCCUCCCUCCUUCAGCCCUCGCCCAGCUGAUGUGUGCUUAGGAAAUGCAAACUAAUUUUAAAAUUCGCUGGAGCAAAACAUGAUUAGAAUGGCUAAGUCUGCUGCCAAAAAUAAAAUCAGCUAAUGCACUUCAUAUAUUUAGAUUUCCAAAAUUAAGUUGAAAUGAUGCUUAGUUCAUCCAAAGUUUGGGUUUUUUACACAUCACCCCCCAUCUCUGCUAAAUGACCCGACUUUUUUCUGCCAGC